rnacentral:rRNA from 1 species
AGUGAACGCUGGCGGUAGGCCUAACACAUGCAAGUCGAACGGCAGCACAGUAAGAGCUUGCUCUUACGGGUGGCGCGUGGCGGACGGGUGAGGAAUACAUCGGAAUCUACUUUUUCGUGGGGGAUAACGUAGGGAAACUUACGCUAAUACCGCAUACGACCUACUGGUGAAAGCAGGGGAUCUUCGGACCUUGCGCGAUUGAAUGAGCCGAUGUCGGAUUAGCUAGUUGGCGGGGUAAAGGCCCACCAAGGCGACGAUCCGUAGCUGGUCUGAGAGGAUGAUCAGCCACACUGGAACUGAGACACGGUCCAGACUCCUACGGGAGGCAGCAGUGGGGAAUAUUGGACAAUGGGCGCAAGCCUGAUCCAGCCAUACCGCGUGGGUGAAGAAGGCCUUCGGGUUGUAAAGCCCUUUUGUUGGGAAAGAAAAGCAGCAGGUUAAUACCCCGCUGUUCUGACGGUACCCAAAGAAUAAGCACCGGCUAACUUCGUG